GUCCGUGUUUUGUGUGUGUGUGUGUGUGUGUGUGUGUGUGUGUGUGUGUGUGAGUGAUAUUCUCAGUGUGUUAUUAAAUUUAACCUCGCACUGAUAAACAGUGUUUUCUUUUCAGGAUUUCACAAAGAUUACCACAAAAGGAGAGCAAAAUGGUGAACUGUGGCCUGUUGACAAACCAGAAUGUUCCAGUUCCACUGAAGCACAUCGAGGUGGAUCUGCAGGUUCAGGGGCAUGUAGCGACGGUGACCUCCACCCUGCAGUAUAUAAAUGAGGAAGUGCACCCGCUGGAGGCUGUGUUUGUCUUCCCCAUGCCUUCAGGAGCUGCUCUCUGCCAUUUCAGAGCCAAGAUUGCAGACCAGGAGAUAGUGGCUGAGGUGCAGGAGAAACAGGAGGCGCGGGAGCAGUACGAUGAUGCAGUGAGUUCAGGUCAACAGGCCUUUCUGCUGGAGGAGAGUGAGGAGUCUGUGGACGUGUUCAAGAUGAGUGUAGGCUCUCUGCCGCCAGGCCAGAGCGCCGCCGUCAUUUUCAUCUAUAUCACUGAGCUGAGUGUACAGGCUGACCAUUCACUGCAAUUCUGCCUGCCUGCAGUGCUCAACCCCCGCUACACACCAGCCGCUUCAGGUGGUGGUAUAGUGUCAGAGAUAACAUCAAGUUCUUCUGGUAUUCCCUACUCUCUCUCUUUUACUGCACACGUGAGUUCUCCAAACCCCAUCACUAAAGUGGAGUCCAAAUGUCCUCUAGAGCCCCUGAUGUUCCUCAACACAGACCACACAAAUGCAAAGGUAAGUCUUUGUGCAGGUCAUAUGUUUGAUCGAGAUGUCGAGCUGUAUCUAUAUUAUCAGAAUCCCCAUCAGCUCACUGCUAUAGUGGAGGCUGGAUCUCCCUCAGCACAGCCAGGGACUCUCCUGGGAGACCCUGUGGUCAUGGUCAGUUUCUAUCCAGAGUUUCCUGAGUCAGUGAUGUCCUCCAUGUCGUCGUGUGGUGAGUUUGUGUUUGUUAUGGACAGAUCUGGCAGUAUGAGUUGCAGCAUGCAUAAUGGACAAGGUGCACAAGAACGCAUCGAGUGUGCCAGGGACACUCUGCUCCUGCUGCUGAAGAGUCUCCCCAUGGACUGUUACUUCAACAUCUAUGGCUUUGGCUCUCACUAUGAAUCUUUCUUCCCGAAAAGUGUGCAGUACAGUCAGGACACUAUGGAGCAGGCCGUGAAGAAGGUAAAGGAGAUGCAAGCAGACAUGGGGGGCACGGAGAUUCUGCGACCUCUGGAAAACAUUUAUAAACAGCCGUGCAUUCCCAACCACCCAAGACAGCUGUUCAUAUUUACAGAUGGUGAAGUAGGAAACACCAAAGAUGUUCUUCACAGUGUGAAGAGCAAUGCUAAUUUCCACAGAUGCUUCUCAUUUGGGAUUGGUGAAGGUGCAAGUUCUGCACUCAUAACAGGAUUGGCUGAGAACAGCUCUGGCCACGCCCAGUUCAUCACAGGAAAUGAACGCAUGCAGGCCAAAGUAAUGCAGUCUCUUCGCUAUGCUUUGCAACCAGCAGUGAUUGAUAUCACUGAGGAUUGGACUGGUUUGUCUUUCACCCGUCUGAGCCCCCCGAUUAAUUCACUUUUCCAUGGUCAAAGAGCACUGAUUUAUGCCCAGUUGAAAGGAGAGGAAUGUCAGAAACCAGAUGCUAAGGGGAAAAUAUCAGUACAGUACCACCUAAGAGACCAAGAGGUCUCAAACAUUGUCCACUUCUCCUUGAAGCCUGCUGAGAAUAGCGGACUGGCCAUCCACAGGCUGGGCGCUCGCUCUCUGAUCCGCUCCCUGGAAAGGGACGAGCAGGAUGAUGGAGCUGAUAAAGAAGCUCUGAAGGCCAGAGUGGUGGAACUGAGUAAGCAGUCUGGAGUGAGCAGCUCUCACACAGCCUUCAUAGCUGUCCAUAAGGGCAGCAGACAAGCUGUGAAAGGACCACUGGUGAAGAGGAGAAUUCCUACACCUAUGAUGAUGGCACAUUCAUGGAGCUGUAACCGUAUAGCGGCGAGUGGGGGACCACCUGUAAGGACAUGUAUCCAGAAGAGUCGGGUGGCUGCACCAAUGAGUCUUUCUAGUUUCUGUAAGUGAAUGCUACACUAAAUACUUCUUAGAAAUCAUUGUGUACUUCCUUUCAUCUGUAAAAUGCACCUACUGUUGGGUCUUUAAAAGAAGUCAGUAACAUUCCAAGUAUUUAUUAAUUUAAAGAAAAAUAAUACAUAAUUUCAACAUAAAUAUACAGCAUCUCUGUAAUAAUUUACAUUAAGUUUUCAUGAGCUGACAUCAACACAUUAAUUAACCUGAGAAACACUAAACUUUAGCUUUACAGCACAACAGCAAUUAACAAAAUAACUUAUGGAUUGAUUUGUCUAAAAUAAUAAAUCAAAUAAGCCAAACAGUCAACACCUACAUUAAUUCAAUUAAAUAAAAUUUUAUUUGUAUAGCACUUUUAACAAUGGACAUUGUCACAAAGCAGCUUUGUGACAAUAUCACAAAUUAACUGUUCUUCAAACCACCAAUGAGAAAAAUGAAUCCCACUAUGACAAAUAUGAACCAGCAUCUUAAUUUUUAAGUUAUUAAGUACCAAAAUUCAGAAUCAAGGCUUGAUACUAAAUUUCAACUUCAAUUUAUCAUUUAGGAACAUGCACUAAUGUAACUUUUGCUAAUUGGUGUGGAUUGGAGACAUGGAUUGAAUAAACAUUAAUUAAUGGACAUUAUACUCCAUUAACAUUUAAAUAAUUUUAUUUAAAAAGUCAAUUAACUUACUUGAUUAAACUAAAUGUAUUAAUGCUGAAGUUUAUAAUUUGUCAGUAUUAACCAUUGUAAUAAUAUUAACUAAUGGAGUAAUUAAUGUUAGUUAAGGGAACUUUAAUGUUUUAUCCAUACCUGCAUACCUGUUGUAAAUAUUUAUUAACAUAUUUUCUUUUUCUUUUCAAAAACUUUGUCUAAAAUGUGGUGGAAUUCGGCAUGUAGUAAGCAAGGGGAUGAGCAAGAUUGCACGUAUAAAGACAUGUAUUCGUAAGUAACUGAACACAGGAGUUUGUUAGUACUUAUAUUAUUCAUCAUUGUAAAACUGUACCCUCAAAUUUAAAAUAUACAAGGAUAUGCAAUACAGCUAGUUUCAUGAUUGACAAUUAGUCAUGAGACUAAUUGUAUUGCAUACCCUUGUAUGUUGGAAAGCCACCGUCUAGGUCUCAGAGUAAAAUAAAAUAAAUGAUGUCAUUCUUUUCAUUGUUUAGUCAUGAAAAAUAUGCAAUCAUGUAUAAUAAAUUAAAAACUUUAUUUUAAAAAAGUGCUACAGGAAGCUCAUAGCUGGUUUGCUGUACUUUCACUGAGCUCAUUGAGAAUAUAACCCCCUCCAUCCAUACCUGCGUACCUUUUCUAAAUAUUUAUUAACAUAUUUUCUUGUUUCUUUAAAAAAAAAAAAAAACUUUCUCUAAAAUGGUGGUGGAAUUCGGCAUGUAGCAAACAAGGGCAUAGUGGCGAGCAAGAGACCAUUUGUAAGGACGUGUACCGAGAGGAGUCAGCUGCCUAUACUAAGGGGUCUUCCUAGUUUCCGUUAUAAAGAUAUUGACAUUAUCCCAG